rnacentral:rRNA from 1 species
AUUGAACGCUGGCGGCAGGCUUAACACAUGCAAGUCGAGCGAGCGGCGGACGGGUGAGUAAUGUCUGGGAAACUGCAUGAUGGAGGGGGAUAACUACUGGAAACGGUAGCUAAUACCGCAUACCAUCAGAUGUGCCCAGAUGGGAUUAGCUAGUAGGUGGGGUAAUGGCUCACCUAGGCGACGAUCCAUAGCUGGUCUGAGAGGAUGACCAGCACCACUGGAACUGAGACACGAGCCAGGCUCCUUGGGUGGGAAGCAGGGGGGAAUAUUGCACAAUGUGGGGAAGCCUGAUGCAGCCAUGCCGCGUGUAUGAAGAAGGCCUUCGGUGUGUAAAGUACUUUCAGCGGGGAGGCGUUACCCGCAGAAGAAGCACCGGCUAACUCCGUGCCAGCAGCCGCGGUAAUAC